rnacentral:rRNA from 1 species
CCUACGGGAGGCAGCAGUGGGGAAUAUUGCACAAUGGGCGCAAGCCUGAUGCAGCCAUGCCGCGUGUGUGAAGAAGGCCUUCGGGUUGUAAAGCACUUUCAGUCAGGAGGAAAGGUUAGUAGUUAAUACCUGCUAGCUGUGACGUUACUGACAGAAGAAGCACCGGCUAACUCCGUGCCAGCAGCCGCGGUA